rnacentral:rRNA from 1 species
CAGGACGAACGCUGGCGGCGUGCCUAAUACAUGCAAGUCGAACGGUCUUUCUAUGGAAGCUUGCUUCCACUGAGAAGAUAGUGGCGAACGGGUGAGUAACACGUGGGUAACCUGCCCAUAAGAGGGGGAUAACAUCCGGAAACGGGUGCUAAUACCGCAUAGUUUUCUUGAUCGCAUGAUCGGGAAAGGAAAGACGGCCUUUGUGCUGUCGCUUAUGGAUGGACCCGCGGCGUAUUAGUUAGUUGGUGAGGUAACGGCUCACCAAGACGAUGAUACGUAGCCGACCUGAGAGGGUGAUCGGCCACAUUGGGACUGAGACACGGCCCAAACUCCUACGGGAGGCAGCAGUAGGGAAUCUUCCGCAAUGGACGAAAGUCUGACGGAGCAACGCCGCGUGAGUGAAAGAAGGUUUUCGGAUCGUAAAACUCUGUUGUCAGAGAAGAACAAGUUGGAGAGUAACUGCUCCAGCCUUGACGGUAUCUGACCAGAAAGCCACGGCUAACUACGUGCCAGCCGCGGC